rnacentral:rRNA from 1 species
AGCGAACGCUGGCGGCAGGCUUAACACAUGCAAGUCGAGCGGGCGUAGCAAUACGUCAGCGGCAGACGGGUGAGUAACGCGUGGGAACGUACCUUUUGGUUCGGAACAACACAGGGAAACUUGUGCUAAUACCGGAUAAGCCCUUACGGGGAAAGAUUUAUCGCCGAAAGAUCGGCCCGCGUCUGAUUAGCUAGUUGGUGAGGUAACGGCUCACCAAGGCGACGAUCAGUAGCUGGUCUGAGAGGAUGAUCAGCCACAUUGGGACUGAGACACGGCCCAAACUCCUACGGGAGGCAGCAGUGGGGAAUAUUGGACAAUGGGCGCAAGCCUGAUCCAGCCAUGCCGCGUGAGUGAUGAAGGCCCUAGGGUUGUAAAGCUCUUUUGUGCGGGAAGAUAAUGACGGUACCGCAAGAAUAAGCCCCGGCUAACUUCGUGCCAGCCGCCGCAGUAACAC